UACAGAGGGUGCGAGCGUUAAUCGGAAUUACUGGGCGUAAAGGGCGCGUAGGCGGUUCGUUAAGUCCUGUGUGAAAUCCCCCGGCUCAACUGGGGAACUGCACAGGAAACUAGCGGGCUUGAGUUCGGGAGAGGGAAGCGGAAUUCCGGGUGUAGCGGUGAAAUGCGUAGAUAUCUGGAGGAACACCGGUGGCGAAGGCGGCAUCCUGGACCAACACUGACACUGAGGAGCGAAAGCCAGGGGAGCAAACGGG
rnacentral:rRNA from 1 species